UACGAAGGGGGCUAGCGUUGCUCGGAAUUACUGGGCGUAAAGCGCACGUAGGCGGCUUUGUAAGUUAGAGGUGAAAGCCCGGGGCUCAACUCCGGAAUUGCCUUUAAGACUGCAUCGCUAGAAUUGUGGAGAGGUAAGUGGAAUUCCGAGUGUAGAGGUGAAAUUCGUAGAUAUUCGCAAGAACACCAGUGGCGAAGGCGGCUCACUGGCCCGGUACUGACGCUGAGGUGCGAAAGCGUGGGGAGCAAACAGG
rnacentral:rRNA from 1 species